UACGUAGGGUGCAAGCGUUAAUCGGAAUUACUGGGCGUAAAGGGCGCGCAGGCGGUUCUUCAAGUCAGGCGUGAAAGCCCCGGGCUCAACCUGGGAACAGCGCUUGAGACUGGCACGCUCGAGUUCGGGAGAGGAUGGUGGGAAUUCCCAGUGUAGAGGUGAAAAUUCGUAGAUAUUGGGAAGAACACCGAUGGCGAAGGCAGCCAUCUGGACCGACACUGACGCUGAGGUGCGAAAGCGUGGGGAGCAAAGCAGG
rnacentral:rRNA from 1 species